rnacentral:rRNA from 1 species
UACGGAGGGUGCAAACGUUGCUCGGAAUCAUUGGGCGUAAAGCGCACGUAGGCGGUCCAGCAAGUCGGGUGUGAAAGCCCUCGGCUCAACCGAGGAAGUGCAUUCGAAACUGCUGAACUUGAGUAUGGAAGAGGGUCGCGGAAUUCCCGGUGUAGAGGUGAAAUUCGUAGAUAUCGGGAGGAACACCAGUGGCGAAGGCGGCGACCUGGGCCAAUACUGACGCUGAGGUGCGAAAGCGUGGGGAGCGAACAGG